GAUGAACGCUGGCGGCGUGCUUAACACAUGCAAGUCGAACGAAGCACUUUUAUUUGAUUUCUUCGGAAUGAAGAUUUUAGUGACUGAGUGGCGGACGGGUGAGUAACGCGUGGGUAACCUGCCUCAUACAGGGGGAUAACAGUUGGAAAUGACUGCUAAUACCGCAUAAGACCACAGUACCGCAUGGUGCAGGGGUAAAACUCCGGUGGUAUGAGAUGGACCCGCGUCUGAUUAGGUAGUUGGUGGGGUAACGGCCUACCAAGCCGACGAUCAGUAGCCGACCUGAGAGGGUGACCGGCCACAUUGGGACUGAGACACGGCCCAA
rnacentral:rRNA from 1 species